AUUGAACGCUGGCGGCAUGCCUUACACAUGCAAGUCGAACGGCAGCACGGGUGCUUGCACCUGGUGGCGAGUGGCGAACGGGUGAGUAAUACAUCGGAACGUACCUUAUCGUGGGGGAUAACGCAGCGAAAGCUGUGCUAAUACCGCAUACGCCCUGAGGGGGAAAGCGGGGGAUCGCAAGACCUCGCGCGACUAGAGCGGCCGAUGCCUGAUUAGCUAGUUGGUGGGGUAAAAGCCCACCAAGGCGACGAGCAGUAGCUGGUCUGAGAGGACGAUCAGCCACACUGGGACUGAGACACGGCCCAGACUCCUACGGGAGGCAGCAGUGGGGAAUUUUGGACAAUGGGGGCAACCCUGAUCCAGCAAUGCCGCGUGAGUGAAGAAGGCCUUCGGGUUGUAAAGCUCUUUUGUCAGGGAAGAAACACCGGCUCUAACACAGUCCGGGAAUGACGGUACCUGAAGAAUAAGCACCGGCUAACUACGUGCCAGCCGCCGCCGUAA
rnacentral:rRNA from 1 species